rnacentral:lncRNA from 1 species
AAACCACACAUCAGAGGUGCAUUGUGCACAGCUGUCUUCUGUGCUCAUCCCUGUAGGGAUGGGUGGCCCUGGGCCACAAGAAGCUGAUGCAAAGAGCACAUACACUUGAGGGAAGGCCUAGCAGCAUCUCCUGAUACAUGACAAUUGUGUCACAUUCCAUUGCUAGGACAAUCUGCCUCCCUCCAUCUCCCUGCAGAUAGGUACCACUGGGGAUAUCAGCCUAGUCUCUCCUCGCUUCCUCCUCCUCAGAAAACUGGCAGAGACUGCAGCCUCCAAGCUUUAAUCCUAAAUAGGGCUGUACUCCAAAGACCAUCUCAUCUCACAUGGGACAUGCCCUGGAGUUGCUUUCAGAUGUCAUCUGAGAAACUGAAGCGGGACAAACCCUGCUGUCAUGUAAAUCCAUGCGAGCCUCCAGCUUCUCCAGAACUGCACAGCUGUAAAAGGAAUCUCACAGUUUUAUUAAAGGCUGAGAAAAAACACUUGGCACUGCUGCCUGCUGUCAGCUACCACCUUUCUGGGAAGCACUGGCAGUCCAGCCCAGCUUGCAGUUUU